GAACACCUUCUCCACUCCAUCCCAGAAAAUCAUGGUUGGAGGGCAUGCCAGGUGAUUACUGCUGUGUAACAAAUGGUCCCCAAAUGCCAUGACAUAAAACGACAAUGAUCUAUCACUUCUUACCUGUCUUCUGGUCAGCUUGGGUUUAGCUCCUCUAGUCUGGGCUUAUCUGAGAUGACUGUUCCAAGUCCCUUGUCCUCCUUGGACCAGCUGGCUGGCCCAGGCAUUGGCAGACUCAGAAGAAGGUAAGCAGGAACACAUGAGCCCUCUUCAGACCUAAACCCAGAACUUUACUACUGUUACUUCCAUCUCAUUCUAUUGGCCAAAGCAAGUCACAUGGUUGAACCCAUAAUCAAGGGGCAGAGAAAUAUACCCCACUCCUUUAGUGGAAAGAACUUCAAAAUCAAGGGUACAGUGAGGUAUGAAGAACUGGGGCCAAUGCUGUAAUCUACUACAGAGAAGAAGGCGUAUGACUAUGGCUGUAUCCUUGGGGCCUUUGUUCUGGAAUCUUGGGGCAGUUUCACACCGCAGGCUCCACGUGUCUCUCAUCCUCUUUGGACCAGCUUCCCAGCCUGGAUUGGUUACGGAUUAUUUGCAUCGACAAUCCUCUAAUUGGAGUAACACUGGACCUCUUGAGCUCACUCAGGGAAACCCUUCAAAGUGCAUGAAAGAGACUGACAAUGGCUGAUUAAGAUGAUGAAGAUGAUGUCAUGGUGACUCUAUGCUUGUUUUCAGGCCAAGAUGUUAGCAUUCUGAUCGGGUGGCCACCUGAGAAAGAGAACAAAGAGCUGUG
rnacentral:lncRNA from 1 species